rnacentral:rRNA from 1 species
AGAGCGAACGCUGGCGGCAGGCCUAAUACAUGCAAGUCGAACGGACCCUUCGGGGUUAGUGGCGGACGGGUGAGUAACACGUGGGAACGUGCCCUUUGGUUCGGAACAACUCAGGGAAACUUGAGCUAAUACCGAAUGUGCCCUUCGGGGGAAAGAUUUAUCGCCAUUGGAGCGGCCCGCGUCUGAUUAGCUAGUUGGUGAGGUAAAGGCUCACCAAGGCGACGAUCAGUAGCUGGUCUGAGAGGAUGACCAGCAUCACUGGGACUGAGACACGGCCCAGACUCCUACGGGAGGCAGCAGUGGGGAAUAUUGGACAAUGGGCGCAAGCCUGAUCCAGCCAUGCCGCGUGGAUGAUGAAGGCCUUAGGGUUGUAAAGUCCUUUUAACGGGGAAGAUAAUGACGGUACCCGUAGAAUAAGCCCGGCUAACUUCGUGCCAGCAGCCGC